UCUCUACUGAGUGUUGGGGAGGAUGGGGACAGACGCUGUUGUGGGACUGCAAACCACAGGUGGCUUUGGCAGUGUCUUAAAGAGUUAAGCGUACACAUGACCAGGCCACUCACUCCUAGGCUUCACCCAAGAGAAACACAAGCAUCUGUCGGAAGAUGCCGACUCAACGCUCACAGCAAUUUUCUCUAAGAGCCCCAAAGCAGACACACCCCAAGGGUUGGCCAAGGGAGUUGACAUGCACGUUGGUGCCACGGAUGGGGUAGGACCGUCGCCUGGGAGGAAUGUGGAUUGGUAAGCCCCACGGCACAGAUGACAAUUACGGAGGGAGGAAAGCCCGGCAGAGGUGCAGKCCCCCUGAUGGCACUGAGGCGCGCUCACCCGCCGCCAUCUGCCGGGCCUGACCUGGUGCUGCUGAUCCGGAAGGAAGCCCUCCGCCCAGCUCGCCCAGCUCGCCCAGCUCGCCCAGCUCGAGGUGACCAGCCCGCAGGGGAAGGCCGUGUGGAUUCCAGAAUUCCUGGUGCCACUGCUCUUCCUGGAGAGGAAGAAGAGUUUGUGCGCCUGGUGAUUCUGGCACAGUGGAAAGGGCAGGGUCCUCAGGCCAAAAGCAGAGGAGCUAC
rnacentral:lncRNA from 1 species